AUACAUGCAAUAUUUUUUUUAAUUUUAGAAGAUUUUAGUUCAGUAUGUAUCGAUACACCCGUGUUUUGGAUCGAUACAUGCUUGUUUUAAAAAUGAAAUUUGAGCUACAUGUAUCGAUACAUUCUGCAAUGUGUCGAUCCAUCCCGAAUUUUUUUCUGUAACCUGACUUGGGCCGACCCAUUGGCCCAUUUACACUUCUUAAAACUAUCUUUCUUCCAUAUAUCUCUCUUUUUCGUCAAAAAAUGGCCAACCCUAGUUU
rnacentral:lncRNA from 1 species